rnacentral:rRNA from 1 species
AUUGUACGCUGGCGGCAUGCCUUACACAUGCAAGUCGAACGGCAGCACGGGUGCUUGCACCUGGUGGCGAGUGGCGAACGGGUGAGUAAUACAUCGGAACGUACCUUAUCGUGGGGGAUAACGCAGCGAAAGCUGUGCUAAUACCGCAUACGCCCUGAGGGGGAAAGCGGGGGAUCGAAGACCUCGCGCGAUUAGAGCGGCCGAUGCCUGGUUAGCUUGUUGGUGGGGUAAAAGCCCACCAAGGCGACGAUCAGUAGCUGGUCUGAGAGGACGAUCAGCCACACUGGGACUGAGACACGGCCCAGACUCCUACGGGAGGCAGCAGUGGGGAAUUUUGGACAAUGGGGGCAACCCUGAUCCAGCAAUGCCGCGUGAGUGAAGAAGGCCUUCGGGUUGUAAAGCUCUUUUGUCAGGGAAGAAACACCGGCUCUAACACAGUCCGGGAAUGACGGUACCUGAAGAAUAAGCACCGGCUAACUACGUGCCAGCCGCCGCGGUAA